rnacentral:rRNA from 1 species
UACGUAGGGGGCAAGCGUUGUCCGGAAUCAUUGGGCGUAAAGAGCGUGUAGGCGGCCAGAUAAGUCCGCUGUGAAAUCUCGAGGCUCAACUUCGAGCUGUCGGUGGAAACUGUCUGGCUAGAGUCCGGAAGAGGAGAAUGGAAUUCCUGGUGUAGCGGUGAAAUGCGCAGAUAUCAGGAGGAACACCAAUGGCGAAGGCAGCUCGCUGGAACGGUACUGACGCUGAGGCGCGAAAGCGUGGGGGAGCAAACAGG